GACGAACGCUGGCGGCGUGCUUAACACAUGCAAGUCGAACGGAAAGGCCCUGCUUUUGUGGGGUGCUCGAGUGGCGAACGGGUGAGUAACACGUGAGUAACCUGCCCUUGACUUUGGGAUAACUUCAGGAAACUGGGGCUAAUACCGGAUAGGAGCUCCUGCUGCAUGGUGGGGGUUGGAAAGUUUCGGCGGUUGGGGAUGGACUCGCGGCUUAUCAGCUUGUUGGUGGGGUAGUGGCUUACCAAGGCUUUGACGGGUAGCCGGCCUGAGAGGGUGACCGGCCACCUUGGGACUGAGGUACCGCCCCGACUCCUACGGGAGGCAGCAGUGGGGAAUAUUGCACAAUGGGCGGAAGCCUGAUGCAGCAACGCCGCGUGCGGGAUGACGGCCUUCGGGUUGUAAACCGCUUUCGCCUGUGACGAAGCGUGAGUGACGGUAAUGGGUAAAGAAGCACCGGCUAACUACGUG
rnacentral:rRNA from 1 species